UUAAAUACUGAAAAUAAAAUUUUUGAAUACUUAAUUGGGAGACUUUAACUAACUUAUUAAAUUUCCAUUAUGGCUAACGGAUAUACUAUAAAAUGUAGCUUCUAUACAUUUAACUUUUGAGUUACAUACAUAUACAUAUGUAUGUUUGUUUUGCCUGGUAUCAAAUUAGUAUAUAAUUAUUGAGGGUAUAUUUCAGGCAGAGUCGAAGAGCCACGUUCAAACACCGAAACGCACAACAGUAACAACAACCAAGUAAGCUACCUUUUAACACGCCUUGCGCCAACGUUUAGAAUGCGUGGCACUGACUAUGCAAGAAGAAGAAAAAGAAGAAAAGUCAAAAUUGUAUAUGAGUUGAUGGUAUAAAAACAAGCAACGAAAAAA